rnacentral:rRNA from 1 species
CCUACGGGGGGCAGCAGUAGGGAAUAUUGCUCAAUGGGGGAAACCCUGAAGCAGCAACGCCGCGUGGAGGAUGAAGGUUUUCGGAUUGUAAACUCCUUUUGUUAGAGAAGAGAAUGACGGUAUCUAACGAAUAAGCACCGGCUAACUCUGUGCCAGCAGCCGCGGGAAUACGGAGGGUGCAAGCGUUACUCGGAAUCACUGGGCGUAAAGAGCGCGUAGGCGGGAUCGCAAGUCAGAUGUGAAAUCCUAUGGCUUAACCAUAGAACUGCAUUUGAAACUGUUAUUCUAGAGUAUGGGAGAGGUAGGUGGAAUUCUUUGUGUAGGGGUCAAAUCCGUAGAGAUCACGAGGAAUACUCAUUGCGAAGGCGACCUGCUAGACCAUACCUGACGCUGAUGCGCGAAAGCGUGGGGCGCAAACAGGAUUAGAUACCCUGGUAGUC